GGCCAAUCACGCGGCGAACAGAGGGACGAAAUAACCGCCAUUCGCGACGUAUAGUCCCCUCGACCUGACUACGCGCGAGUAUGAUUCAGAUUUGUGCGAAACGUGUGCGAAAAGAUUGUACAGUUAUCGGGAUCCCUCUACCACGGGGAAGAGCACGGCCGACCCACAGAAUGCCAAUAGCGAUCUCUCUGCUCGUGUGCUCCAAUAUUCCAGAUUUUGAAUGAGAGAAAGGCGCAAGGAAAAAACUUGCCGUUGGUGCACGGCCGUGCUCCGGGGAAACAAAAUCCCACGCAGCAUCCAGGAAGUGGUGAGGGGUGACACCGGAUGCAUUUCAAUGAGGGGAGACGGGCGAACGGGUUCGCGUAAAACAAUUCGUUCUGCGUUUCGCAGAGAGACCACCGUCUCUCAUUCAUUGUCCAUACCGCAGGAGUGCAUUUCAGCGAGGUGUCUGGUUGCACAGAUCGCGCUUUGUAACCAACAAUAAAGUGAAAGCUCUACUAUCUAUACUUCCUGACGAUAUUGGUUGCCAGGGUAACACGACGGAAAUUGAGAGGACGAACAUUGACGCGCCAAGUUUCGCGAACGGAAAAACAGUCUCUCCGUUGCUGCGGCUAUGAAACUCGGCAUGCAACUAAUUCCAAGAGUUUAAACGUUAAUGCGGAGAGUAAUAGAUAGCAAGAGACGUUGGAAAAAGAACUGAUGUGAAAAAUCAAAGCGUAACAAUAGAAAGACCCGUCGAAUGAGACUGUCUACACUAGUGUAGAGCUCUACACAAGUAUGUCUCUUUAACAUCGUCUCACUGACCCGAGGGAAAAUUAAAAGGAAAGUAACUGCCGCUGAGGAACUACGAGAAUGUGGAAACACGCACGACGUUACUUUGCUACAGAGGAAAGUGUUGGAUGAAAAGAUGAUGGACACAGCUGACGUCGUCAGAAGGAAGAGAAAUAGUAAGAAACAUCGAGCAAAAGAAGUGAAAGAAAGCUGCGAGAAAUAAGGAAAUAGUCGACCGACAGAAUCCUUUGAAGAUAUUUCCUUUCGAAAGCACUGACUUCCGGAUCGAGAGCCCUUCACGAAAUCGAAAUUGAAGGACGGGAAAACCGUGAACGAAAGGGGGACAUUUCCUGUGUCAAUAGGGCUUCUCAUAAACGCAUAGUCAUUGAUAUUAAUGAAAAUAUUAAUUGCGUUAUUGAAUAGUCGAUACUGAUGUAAGAAUAGGAAACUCUAAAAAUAUCAAAAAUAAAAAUUGUAAGACAGCUACAUUUUAUUUUAUUGGGUAAAUUACACACACAUUUCUUUAUUUUAUUUCUUCACUUGUUAUCAAUGGGUAAAAAAAAAUUAUACAACUUGGCAACGUUAAAUAGAUUUAACAUUUUAAUUAUAUCUCGCGAUUUAAUUGUAACAGAUAAUUCUACUAUGCAAAUAUUAUUAUUCAUUAAUUUCAAUUUGCUAUAUUUUAGUUUGAGUAAUGUAUAAUAAUCAAAAUCAAAAAAUGCUGUGCGUUUUGUCCGUUUUUUCUCACGAUAGGUUUAUGUCUUUCUCAGUGAAAAAUCAAUUCGACUUAUCUCAUUCACAGAAAUGACAAUGACGAUAACGUAUCAAUUGACAAGUAAUAAAAUAAAGAGGAUAGUAAAUUUUAUCAAAUGCUAAUACGCCGAUUGUAUAAAUUUCAUUGGGUAAGCUGUAUUUCGUUCACUACGUGUAAAAGAAAAUUACACUGUUAAGCAAAUUUAACAUUUAAAUUAAAUUUCGCCAGGUAAUUAUAACAAAUAAUUCAUUGAUUUACCUUGAACAACUACCCUUAAUUAAAAAAAAUAGUUUAUUUGCUGCAAUAACAUAACUAAAAAAAGUUUAUUUUAGAGUUUGCAGAAAUUCCAAUAAAAAUUCAAUGAAUAAAGAAAGAAGUGUAACAUACUGAGUAAUAAUUUUUUUUCUUUACCUUACCUUUGUUACACAAAAAAGUUGAUUUGAAAAAAUUAUAUUAUAAAAUUUUAAUAAUUUAAAAUAUUUACACUAGAAAACUUUUGUUGUUAUAUCAUUGUUGCAACGAUUGUGUAAGAAAAAAUAUAUAGAAAAUAUAAAAAUGAUUUUAUAUUAAUUGGCCUUUGAACGAAUAGAAAUUACGUACUUUUCAUGUAAAAUUAAAUUUUUGUAUCGAUCGAACGUUUGUUAAAAUUGUUUCUACUUAAUGGGAUUAUAUUUUUCUGAACAUCUGCGCUGUAUAUCAACUUUUGAAACAUAAGAUCAGCAUGAUCAUCGUUUAAGGUCUUCUUUAUGUAACCAUGACCCAUUACUUCCAUGCUGGGGGCACGUGAACCAUAUGGUUUGUGUGAUCGAUUAUGCACGCGUUGACGAUCAAGCUAUCAAAUUCGCGAAACUUAAACUUUGCAUGCGCGAACAGUUACUUGUCAUACUUGAAUGGCUUCGUGGGAAACAAAUUAUACGUUACGCCUCCAUCAUUUUUCUUAUGAAUUUUUAUCGUUUCAUAUCAUUUAAAUAAAAAUAAGGUAAAAGUACUUGAAAAGUAUGUUAUAAACUGUAAAACAUUUUAUGAAUAUGCAUAACAAAAUAUUAUAUAACAUUUCAAUGCGUAAAAAAUUACAUAUCUAGGUAACAUUAAAUAGAUGUAAUAUCUUAUUUAAAUCUUGCGAUUUGAUUAUAAUAGAUAAUUCUACUGUUAACAGAUAUUAAAGAAAGUUUUUUAAUAUUAAUUUAUUUAUAAACUAUGUGAUUUAUUAAUUUCUGGAAGCUACUCAUUAAUUUCUGAAGACUAUGACUUUUGAGAGAGAGAGAGAGAGAGAGAGAGAGAGAGAGAGAGAGAGAGAGAGAGAGAGAGAGAGAGAGAGAGAGAGAGAGAGAGAAUAUUUGUUAAACGUGAUUAAUUAAAAGAAACAUAUUCUAAUUGUAUUCUUGUGUGUUCUGUUGCACAAUAACUCAAUAUACAUUUCAUUAAUCAGAAAUAUAAGAGAAUGAAAAAAAACUCAUUAGGUGCACAAAGUGUUUAAUUAUAAGAUUAAUUUUUAAAAAUUAGCUUGCAACGUUGGAGUAAGAGAAAAUGGCGUUACCAUUUCAACCGUUACUCGAAAAUGAGAAACGCUUCGUGAAAAAUUGCAUUCGCAUAAUUUGUGAAUUCGUCCGAGGUGUUCAAGUAUUGUUCAUUGUGUGACAAGCUGCACCUGCAGUUUUACGAUUGUAAAAGCGGAAGAACUCCCCCAUGUGCAUGCUUCACCUGUGCUUUUCUGUUCUCAAACGUACGCAAAGCGUGAUAAAAGGACAAUAGAUGUAUGUCAGAAGUAGCAUUUAUCUGCAUAAAAAUCAGCAUUUAAAUGUGUGAAUGCAUAUUUGUUUAUACAUAUUAUAUAUUUACAUAUUUAUAUAUUUUUUAUACAAUUAAUAAUAUGUCAAUCAAAUAAUAUUAAUUAUUGUUAUUGUUAUUUAAUUUAUGCUAUAGAAUAAAUAAUUUCAUAGAAAUUACAGUUACGUCUUUUAUAAAAAAUUACUAGCACAAUUUAUUAGCCCAAUAUUGGUCCAAUAUAUCCUAACUAUUCUAUUAGCCAAAUAAUAUACACUACUCUGAUAAAUUAUAACUAAUUUGAAAAAAAUAUUAUUUCUAAUAGACUUAUUUUAAUUACUUCAACAGAUUUAAUAAAUAUAUGUAAUUAAAAUGAGUUUUUGUCAGAAAUUGAUUUUAUAAGUAUAUACAAAAUGUGUGUAUAAGAUUUUAUGUUUAAUUUAUAAUAUUUUAUUUUAUUUUAAAUUAAAGAUGUACUAUAAAUAUAUCUACAUAGAUUAUUUUAGAAUGUAUAUGAUGAUAUAAAUUACUAAAAAAGAUUGAUUUAAAAAAAUUUUUUAUUGAUAAAUUGUAACGAGUGUUUUAUCAACAUAAGAUAGCGUUAUAUGCUGUCUUUUCUCGAUCUAGAUUUCUAGCUCUUUUUUACUGCAAUAUCUUCUUACGAUAAUACUUGAUAAUGUUGUUUUACGUGCAUGCUUCUUUGAUAAAGAUUUACUCUAACUUAUCCUAUAAUGUAUAUCUUUUUCACGCAAGAUGUCACUACAAUAUCAUUUUCAAUUUGAGAUAUAAAGAAGGCCGAAACGUCAGGUUAAACGAAAGACGUAUGUUAAAUUACGUUCGUGAUUUAUAUCUUUUAUUACUUUUCUACUGUUUAAUUCAUAACAAGUUGUCGAGGCUCUUUUUUUCUUUCUUCCUUUUUAUUCGCCUUUUUAAUAAGAAAGGCGUAUUAAAAUGUUUAAAAUGGAAUUGUUACAAUUAUUUAAAGGGAUACUAAAUAACUAUCACACUUGAUCGAGAUCGACAAUGUAAAAUCAUUUAUACACAAGAUUUUGUAUGUAAUAUGCAAAGUAUAAAAACGCAAGAUUGUAGUCGCAAGUUAUGUCAUCUUCUCCAGAUGUAAAAGCGGAUGUCAAAAAUGUAAAGACUUUAACUCAUGGUCAAUUAGGAAACAACGGUCAUUAAAAUAAAAAGACAAAGAGAAAAGAUAAACUAUCUGUUAUAAUUAGACGUAUGGAGAUAUGACUUUCUUGGUCUCAAACAACAGAAUGAUGCCGGAUGACAUCAUACCUAUAUAUGUUAUACAUAUAUUAUUAUACAUAAUUAGGUAAUAUAUCAUUUACAUAGCAAAAACAGCAAUUUUUUCAAAGAAAUAAAUUUUUCAAAAAAAAAA